GGCUCAAUGGUCUAGUGGUAUGAUUCCUGCUUCGGGUUGCUCCCUUCCAUCUUUACAUGGGAAUGCAGGAGGCCCCGGGUUCGAAUCCCGGUUGAGCCC